UACGUAGGGACCAAGCGUUGUUCGGAUUUACUGGGCGUAAAGGGCGCGUAGGCGGCCACGACAAGUCACUUGUGAAAUCUCCGGGCUUAACUCGGAACGGUCAAGUGAUACUGUCGGGCUAGAGUGCAGAAGGGGCAACUGGAAUUCUCGGUGUAGCGGUGAAAUGCGUAGAUAUCGAGAGGAACACCUGCGGCGAAGGCGGGUUGCUGGGCUGACACUGACGCUGAGGCGCGAAAGCCAGGGGAGCGAACGGG
rnacentral:rRNA from 1 species